GUGACCUGCGGACAGAUCAUUAUUGAAUUAUACACUGAUGGGCUGUUGCUGGUUCUCUCGGGAACAUGUGCACGCCUUGUCAUCUUUAUAUCUCCACCUGUGCCCUUUUUGUAGACCCCUCCAGGUCUAUGUCGCUUCAUUUACCCCCAAUGUAUGUUGAUAGAAUGUCGUGACUAUAUAAAAUCUAUACAACUUUCAGCAACGGAUCUCUUGGCUCUCGCAUCAAUGAAGAACGCAACGAAAUGCGAUAAGUAAUGUGAAUUGCAUAAUUCAGUGAAUCAUCUAAUCUUUGAACGCACCUUGCGCUCCUUGGUAUUCCGAGGAGCAUGCCUGUUUGAGUGUCAUUAAUAUAUAUCAACCACUCUUCUUGAGUGGCUUGGAUGUGGGGGGUUUGCUGGCCUGUUGACCUCCCCUGAAAUGCAUUAUCGGAACAACAUGUUCAUUCAUUGGUGUGAUAACUAUCUACUCUAUUGAGUGCGAGGCGGUUCAACUUCUUAACGGUCCUCGGACAGUUUUUAUCAUUUUAUGUGACCUCAAAUCUGGUAGGACUACCCGCUGAACUUAAGCAUAUCAAUAAGCGGAGGAAAAGAAACUAACAAGGAUUCCCCUAGUAACUGCGAGUGAAGCGGGAAAAGCUCAAAUUUAAAAUCUGGCGGUCUUUUGGCUGUCCGAGUUGUAAUCUAGAGAAGCGU
rnacentral:rRNA from 1 species